UACGUAGGGGGCAAGCGUUGUCCGGAUUUAUUGGGCGUAAAGGGCGUGUAGGCGGUUCGGUAGGUCCGUUGUGAAAACUCGAGGCUCAACCUCGAGACGCCGAUGGAAACCCUCGAACUAGAGUCCGGAAGAGGAGAAUGGAAUUCCUGGUGUAGCGGUGAAAUGCGCAGAUAUCAGGAAGAACACCCGUGGCUAAGGCGGUUCUCUAGUACGGUACUGACGCUGAGACGCGAAAGCGUGGGGAGCGAACAGG
rnacentral:rRNA from 1 species